UGGGGAAUUUUGGACAAUGGGCGAAAGCCUGAUCCAGCAAUGCCGCGUGUGUGAAGAAGGCCUUCGGGUUGUAAAGCACUUUUGUCCGGAAAGAAAUCCUUGGCUCUAAUACAGUCGGGGGAUGACGGUACCGGAAGAAUAAGCACCGGCUAACUACGUGCCAGCAGCCGCGGUAAUACGUAGGGUGCAAGCGUUAAUCGGAAUUACUGGGCGUAAAGCGUGCGCAGGCGGUUUGCUAAGACCGAUGUGAAAUCCCCGGGCUCAACCUGGGAACUGCAUUGGUGACUGGCAGGCUAGAGUAUGGCAGAGGGGGGUAGAAUUCCACGUGUAGCAGUGAAAUGCGUAGAGAUGUGGAGGAAUACCGAUGGCGAAGGCAGCCCCCUGGGCCAAUACUGACGCUCAUGCACGAAAGGCGUGGGGAGCAAACAGGAUUAGAUACCCUGGUAGUCCACGCCCUAAACGAUGUCAACUAGUUGUUGGGGAUUCAUUUCCUUAGUAACGUACUAACGCGUGAAGUUGACCGCCUGGGGAGUACGGUCGCAAGACUGAAACUUAAA
rnacentral:rRNA from 1 species